rnacentral:sRNA from 1 species
AGGGAGUGCCUUUCAGGCAUCCUCUCCCAAACUUUCAAGGCCGGUCUUCUGAUCGGCCUUUUCUUUUGCCUAUG